UUGAUUUCCAAGGGCUGUUAUAACCAACUGACUAAGUUGGUACGAGAGCGUCUUGGAGCAGUUGCAGGAGUUGCUGUAGCUAUYUUACUAAUCCAGAUCCUCGGUAUGGUUUUCUCUGUUUGUCUCAUUCGAAAAAUCACAAGAAACGAAACGUACGCCUAAAUUGUCCAUCGCGAUUCAAAGUUGCGCACAACACACACCAAUUUAACUUGUAUAUGAACUUAAUCUCUUGCAUGCACUAUAUAUGACUUGCUCACCAAAACUGAGGUCGUAGAGGUCGCUAAUUAAGCUAAGCAGUUAAGAUUCUUUGUCCGUGUUURCAUGUAGUUAGGCGCCUCGCCCUGUACAGCCAUUCGAGAAAAUGUUAAAUAUAUACUGAAUACUGAAUUCUGCAUGAUGCAUUCCAAGACUCCAAUGCAUUGUUGGUAUGAAACUCAGUCCUCGCUAGGUGCGUUACAAUUCUAACCUUUAUAAUUGUUCUCUAAUUAAAGUUCUUMGCCGAACGGGGCUGGUGUAGUCACUCUGGUACAACAAAUUUUCCUUUUAAAUGCCGAUARAACAACCAACAAUGCAUUUCGGUCUUGAAAUACAAUAUUUUUAGUAUUUAACGUUUUCUGAAAUAGCUGUGACAAGUUUAUAGCAUUGUACUGUAUUGUAUCCACACAACAAUAUAGAUAUUAACAAUACGAGACUUUAAAGCACGACGCAAUAAACUUGAUACGAUUAUACAAUAUCCCGCAUAAAUGUGUCAGAGUAUUAGACAAAUACUUUGAUGAAGGAUCAACCCUGCUGUUUUUCAUGGUUGUGCUUGCAUGUUAGGUUGGGUCACUCUAGGGUUGGGUUAACUUAGCUUUUUUUCUGAUAAUAUAUUGUAUUCGAUGCUUAACGACAGUUUAUUUAUGAUGCUAGCACUACUCGCAGGUUGACACUUUGCUUGUCAAGUUUUAUUGUUAGGCAACUUUUGACUUAUACAGGGAGCCGAACAUUCAGAGUGUCCAUGUCUUUCAUGUACACAGGAGUGUUCACGCCGUUUUCAUAGACCUGUCUAUUUUUGUUGUCGUUGGUCGUCUCGAAGUAGUCUCUYGCAACUUCAGGAAGACUAGAAGAAAAAUCUUUUUCACUGUCGUCUGCAAUGUUUAUUUAUUAUUCAACUUUGAUUUCUCGGGAGCGCCCAAUACCGGAAGWGAAUUCUCAUUGGUUAAAAAAAGUCUAAAAAUAGACACGUCUAUGAAAACGCUGUUGCCAAACCCAAUGCUCAUCAUGAACGCUCCUAUAGUCAUGGGCUCCUUAUUCACUAAUAAUGAAAAACAGCACGGUAUAUACUUUUCGAAUUUUUUUGUCUUUUUCAAAUGCUUAUUUUAAGUAGUUUAUAAUGUAACUUGCCAGUAAUUAAAGUGGUUUUCAUACUGAUAUAAUUUUACAUAAUGUAAAAAGAGUUUGCAAAAAGUUUGUAAAUAUAGCCUAAACUCCAAUAAAUAACCAAUAAUCUCAAA